AUGAAAUUCAGCUGGGUCAUCUUCUUCCUGAUGGCAGUGGUUACAGGGGUCAAUUCAGAGGUUCAGCUGCAGCAGUCUGUGGCAGAGCUUGUGAGGCCAGGGGCCUCAGUCAAGUUGUCCUGCACAGCUUCUGGCUUCAACAUUAAAAACACCUAUAUGCACUGGGUGAAGCAGAGGCCUGAACAGGGCCUGGAGUGGAUUGGAAGGAUUGAUCCUGCGAAUGGUAAUACUAAAUAUGCCCCGAAGUUCCAGGGCAAGGCCACUAUAACUGCAGACACAUCCUCCAACACAGCCUACCUGCAGCUCAGCAGCCUGACAUCUGAGGACACUGCCAUCUAUUACUGUGCUAGA